UACAGAGGGUGCGAGCGUUAAUCGGAAUUACUGGGCGUAAAGCGCGCGUAGGCGGCUUUGCAAGUCGGGUGUGAAAUCCCCAGGCUUAACCUGGGAACUGCAUUCGAGACUGCAUUGCUAGAGUAUGGGAGAGGGAAGUGGAAUUUCCGGUGUAGCGGUGAAAUGCGUAGAUAUCGGAGAAGACGUCAGUGGCGAAGGCGGUCUCUGGGACG
rnacentral:rRNA from 1 species